UACGGAGGAUGCGAGCGUUAUCCGGAUUUAUUGGGUUUAAAGGGUGCGUAGGCGGACUGUCAAGUCAGCGGUAAAAUUGAGAGGCUCAACCUCUUCCCGCCGUUGAAACUGGUGGUCUUGAGUGGAUGAGAAGUACGCGGAAUGCGUGGUGUAGCGGUGAAAUGCAUAGAUAUCACGCGGAACUCCGAUUGCGAAGGCAGCUCACUGGACUGCAACUGACACUGAGGCUCGAAAGUGUGGGUAUCAAACAGG
rnacentral:rRNA from 1 species